UACGGGGGGGGUAAGCGUUGUUCGGAAUUACUGGGCGUAAAGGGCUCGUAGGCGGCCAACUAAGUCAGACGUGAAAUCCCUCGGCUUAACCGGGGAACUGCGUCUGAUACUGGAUGGCUCGAGAUUGGGAGAGGGAUGCGGAAUUCCAGGUGUAGCGGUGAAAUGCGUAGAUAUCUGGAGGAACACCGGUGGCGAAGGCGGCAUCCUGGACCAACACUGACGCUGAGGAGCGAAAGCCAGGGGAGCAAACGGG
rnacentral:rRNA from 1 species